UAGGGAAUAUUAGUAAUCGGCGAAAGCCUGAACUAGCAACACCGCGUGUGCGAAGAAGGCCUUCGGGUUGUAUAGCACUUUUUGAGAGGAUGAGGAAGGACGGUACUCUCAGAAUAAGUCUCGGCUAACUACGUGCCAGCAGCCGCGGUAACACGUAGGAGGCAAACGUUAUCCGGAUUUACUGGGCGUAAAGCGCGUGUAGGUGGUUUGGUAAGUAGAGCGCGAAAGCUCCUGGCUCAACUGGGAGAGGUCGUUCUAAACUGCCGGACUAGAGGAUGGUAGAGGGAGGUGGAAUUCCGGGUGUAGCGGUGGAAUGCGCAGAUAUCCGGAGGAACACCAGUGGCGAAAGCGGCCUCCUGGACCACUCCUGACACUCAGACGCGAAAGCUAGGGUAGCAAACG
rnacentral:rRNA from 1 species